rnacentral:misc_RNA from 1 species
AAGCGGCUGGCACCCGUCCACAACUGCCAAAUCUCGGGUCUUCGGACUCGCAGAACCCCGCGAACGAAGUGCAUUAGUUUGUUAUGCGACGUUGGGCGAGAGGCGUCUCGCCGGGCCCCCCCCCUCGGGACGGGUUCCGAAUCAAAGCGUACACCCCAUUUUCAACCCCACUAAACUCUGAAUCUGAACUCGAAAGGGAGGCUGGCCCUACGGCCAGCCGUCCUCAACCAUAUAACGUUGUAAAACUUUCAGCGACGGAUGUCUUGGCUCCCACAACGAUGAAGAACGCAGCGAAAUGCGAUACGUCUUGCGACUUGCAGAAUCCAGUGAAUCAUCAAAACUUUGAACGCAUCUUGCGCUUCCGGGAUACUCCUGGGAGCAUGCUUGUCGGAGUGUCUGUUGACACCACUCGCCCGCCUCUCCUUUUCUCCUACCCGGGGGAAAGGAUGGCGAGCGGACUCUGCGUGUUCCGGAGCUUUCGACGCCCUCCUCGGGGGGUGUCGGGAAAACGCUCCGAGUGCACCGAAUCUCGUGAACGAAACCUCUCUUCUGCCUGUGGCCUUUUGGUUGCGCAGAGUUGUUGACGGCGCUCGUGCCCUUUUUGGGUUCGGCGACUCUCGGCUCGAUAAACGCGCGCCGAAGCGCUCCUGUUGCGGAGGGGUUGUUGUUUUCCGGUGGGCGGUCCUAGCGGCCGCUCCUCCGCGUUUUACUACUUUCGU